UACGUAGGCAGCAAGCGUUGUUCGGAAUUACUGGGCGUAAAGAGUGUGUAGGCGGUGCUCUAAGUUUGGUGUGAAAUCUCCCGGCUCAACUGGAAGGGUGCGCCGAAAACUGGAAUGCUUGAACAUGGGAGAGGAAAGCGGAAUUCCUGGUGUAGCGGUGAAAUGCGUAGAUAUCAGGAGGAACACCUGCGGUGUAGACGGCUUUCUGGACCAUUGUUGACGCUGAGACACGAAAGCGUGGGUAGCAAACAGG
rnacentral:rRNA from 1 species